rnacentral:rRNA from 1 species
AUUGAACGCUGGCGGCAUGCCUAAUACAUGCAAGUCGAACGAGUGGCGGACGGGUGUGUAAUGUCUGGGAACUUGCCCGACGGAGGGGGAUAACUACUGGAAACGGUAGUUAAUACCGCAUACCAUCGGAUGUGCCCUGACGGGAUUAGCUAGUAGGUGGGGUAACGGCUCACCUAGGCGACGAUCCCUAGCUGGUCUGAGAGGAUGACCGGCAACACUGGAACUGAGACACGGUCCAGACUCCUACGGGAGGCAGCAGUGGGGAAUAUUGCGCAAUGGGCGAAAGCCUGAUGCAGCAAUGCCGCGUGUGUGAAGAAGGCCUUCGGGUUGUAAAGUUCUUUCAUCGGGGAGGCGUUACUCAAAGAGAAAGCACCGGCUAACUCCGUGCCAGCAGCCGCGGUAAUUC